AGCCCAUGAUGAGGGCAUUGUUUGAGCAUACUCUUGAAUCUGCCCAAUGCUUUAAAUAAUGAUUCUGAGUCUAUCUAUCUAAAUCUUGCUAUUACAUUCCUCAUGUG